rnacentral:rRNA from 1 species
AGUGGGGAAUAUUGCGCAAUGGGGGCAACCCUGACGCAGCAACGCCCCGUGAGUGAAGAAGGUUUUCGGAUCUUAAACCUCGGUUUUUGGGGAGGAAAAAAUGACGGUACCCUAGGAGGAAGCCCCGGCUAACUACGUGCCAGCAGCCGCGGUAAU